CGUAGGGUGCAAGCGUUGUCCGGAAUUAUUGGGCGUAAAGAGCUCGUAGGCGGUUUGUCGCGUCGACUGUGAAAACCCGAGGCUUAACCUCGGGCCUGCAGUCGAUACGGGCAGACUAGAGUUCGGUAGGGGAGACUGGAAUUCCUGGUGUAGCGGUGAAGUGCGCAGAUAUCAGGAGGAACACCGGUGGCGAAGGCGGGUCUCUGGGCCGAUACUGACGCUGAGGAGCGAAAGCGUGGGGAGCGAACAGGAUUAGAUACCCUGGUAGUCCACGCCGUAAACGUUGGGCGCUAGGUGUGGGGGUCUUUCCACGAUCUCCGUGCCGCAGCUAACGCAUUAAGCGCCCCGCCUGGGGAGUACGGCCGCAAGGCUA
rnacentral:rRNA from 1 species